CGGGAAGAGCUCAAAUUUAAAAUCUGGCAGCCUUGUGUUGUCCGAGUUGUAAUUUGCAGAGGGCGCUUUGGCGUUGGCAGCGGUCCAAGUUCUUUGGAACAGGACGUCACAGAGGGUGAGAAUCCCGUACGUGGUCGCUAGCCUUCGCCGUGUAAAGCCCCUUCGAC
rnacentral:rRNA from 1 species